rnacentral:rRNA from 1 species
AUCUUGCGCAAUGGACGAAAGUCUGACGCAGCGACGCCGCGUGGGGGAAGAAGGCCUUCGGGUUGUAAACCUCUUUCAGCAGGGACGAAGCCACUCGGGUUAAUAGCCCAGAGGGUGACGGUACCUGACGAAUAAGCCACGGCUAACUACGUGCCCGCAGCCGCGGUAAUACGUAGGUGGCGAGCGUUGUCCGGAUUUACUGGGCGUAAAGCGCGCGCAGGCGGUUCGUUAAGUCCGGUGUGAAAGCUCCCGGCUCAACUGGGAGAGGUCAUUGGAUACUGGCGGACUCGAGGGAUGCAGAGGAAGGUGGAAUUCCCGGUGUAGUGGUGAAAUGCGUAGAGAUCGGGAGGAACACCAGUGGCGAAGGCGGCCUUCUGGGCAUUUCCUGACGCUGAGGCGCGAAAGCGUGGGGAGCGAAC